UGGUGGAUCAGUGGCGAACGGGUGAGUAACACGUGAGCAACCUGCCCUGAACUCUGGGAUAAGCGCUGGAAACGGCGUCUAAUACUGGAUAUGAGCUGCGGAGGCAUCUUCGUGGUUGGAAAGAUUUUUCGGUUUGGGAUGGGCUCGCGGCCUAUCAGCUUGUUGGUGAGGUAAUGGCUCACCAAGGCGUCGACGGGUAGCCGGCCUGAGAGGGUGACCGGCCACACUGGGACUGAGACACGGCCCAGACUCCUACGGGAGGCAGCAGUGGGGAAUAUUGCACAAUGGGCGGAAGCCUGAUGCAGCAACGCCGCGUGAGGGAUGACGGCCUUCGGGUUGUAAACCUCUUUUAGCAGGGAAGAAGCGAAAGUGACGGUACCUGCAGAAAAAGCGCCGGCUAACUACGUGCCAGCAGCCGCGGUAAUACGUAGGGCGCAAGCGUUAUCCGGAAUUAUUGGGCGUAAAGAGCUCGUAGGCGGUUUGUCGCGUCUGCUGUGAAAUCUGGGGGCUCAACCCCCAGCCUGCAGUGGGUACGGGCAGACUAGAGUGCGGUAGGGGAGAUUGGAAUUCCUGGUGUAGCGGUGGAAUGCGCAGAUAUCAGGAGGAACACCGAUGGCGAAGGCAGAUCUCUGGGCCGUAACUGACGCUGAGGAGCGAAAGGGUGGGGAGCAAACAGGCUUAGAUACCCUGGUAGUCCACCCCGUAAACGUUGGGAACUAGUUGUGGGGUCCAUUCCACGGAUUCCGUGACGCAGCUAACGCAUUAAGUUCCCCGCCUGGGGAGUACGGCCGCAAGGCUAAAACUCAAAGGAAUUGACGGGGACCCGCACAAGCGGCGGAGCAUGCGGAUUAAUUCGAUGCAACGCGAAGAACCUUACCAAGGCUUGACAUACACGAGAACGCUGCAGAAAUGUAGAACUCUUUGGACACUCGUGAACAGGUGGUGCAUGGUUGUCGUCAGCUCGUGUCGUGAGAUGUUGGGUUAAGUCCCGCAACGAGCGCAACCCUCGUUCUAUGUUGCCAGCACGUAAUGGUGGGAACUCAUGGGAUACUGCCGGGGUCAACUCGGAGGAAGGUGGGGAUGACGUCAAAUCAUCAUGCCCCUUAUGUCUUGGGCUUCACGCAUGCUACAAUGGCCGGUACAAAGGGCUGCAAUACCGCGAGGUGGAGCGAAUCCCAAAAAGCCGGUCCCAGUUCGGAUUGAGGUCUGCAACUCGACCUCAUGAAGUCGGAGUCGCUAGUAAUCGCAGAUCAGCAACGCUGCGGUGAAUACGUUCCCGGGUCUUGUACACACCGCCCGUCAAGUCAUGAAAGUCGGUAACACCUGAAGCCGGUGGCCCAACCCUUGGGAGGGAGCCGUCGAAG
rnacentral:rRNA from 1 species